GAGGGGCUAUGGAAAUUACAACUACAUUUAGGAAGACCUGGUUGGUCAGCGCUGCUGAAUUGAAAUUCCCUCAUUAAAAAUAAAUUACAAUUUUCAAUUCAUGAGUUGAAUUUCAAUUCAUGACCUAAAUGUACCUGGUGUGAAGGUGUGACAGUGUGGUGCUGUCCCUGGUGUGAAGGUGUGACAGUGUGGUGCUAUCCCUGGUGUGAAGGUGUGACAGUGUGGUGCUAUCCCUGGUGUGAAGGUGUGACAGUGUGGUGCUGUCCCUGGUGUGAAGGUGUGACAGUGUGGUGCUAUCCCUGGUGUGAAGGUGUGACAGUGUGGUGCUGUCCCUGGUGUGAAGGUGUGACAGUGUGGUGCUGUCCCUGGUGUGAAGGUGUGACAGUGUGGUGCUGUCCCUGGUGUGAAGGUGUGACAGUG